UUCUUCCUCUUCCUUACAACAAGCACCUGUUGAGCACCCACCUUCCAGGUGCAACGAGCAGUAUUUAGGCAUUGCUACUCUUCCAGAGAGCCCUUUCAACACCUUGAGACCAGCCUGGCUGUGCCCUGCAGAUCUCACUCUCCCUACUGCUCUAGAGGCGUGAAGCUUUCCAGUUGCUGCCUUGAGGAGCUUCUGAAGUGAUCCUUGGAAAUGGGAUGAGAAUGCAGGCUUUGUAAAGGAACAGGCAAAGGUGGUGUGUUUCUGCAAAGGGAUUGUGACCUGAAGGAUAAGGAAUGACAGUGAGAUGUUUUGGAUGCCACUGCUGUUACACAUGUGACAUGGAAACAGGAUGUCUUUCUCUAGUUAAGCACUUUUGGAUCCUGCAGGAUGCAGACAUUACUCUUGUAAUAAUGGCCAUGGUAAUUUCCAAGAGCAUGCUGGAGAAACCUAGACAUGCUUUUCUGGUGUACUGUGGCAGCUGGGGGUAUUUUCUUACCUCUCUUGCCUUUCCCACGACACUGUUUGCCUCCUGUCGCUGGCCUUCGAGGCUCAACAUCUCUGUGUCCUUGUCAGGGGUCAAGCUCCCUGCUCCUGUUUCAAGGGCAGUGCUGAGCGUUUGGUGAGUGGCAAGAGGGGAUGAGAAAUGGAGGUUCAGCUGACCUGCCGCAGUGCUGCUAUUUGACUUUUCAUGCACCCAGCAGCGGAGGGGAGGCAGGGAGAGGAUCCAGGGGUCGAUCUGGCUGCGGGUUAAUCUAUUCUGACAGCAGAGCUGUCGAGGUAUCUUUGCUUAAUGGGACCCAGAGAUAAUUGGAUUUAGCAGUCGGGGCCAGGCUGUGAACCCUGGGGCAAAAGGGCUGCUAAUUGGGAUUUCCCCCUGUGUGUUUGGUGGGGGGGUCAGGGUGUCUGCUGGUCGGGAGGUGGCUGGGGGCAGCAGUCCUUGCUUCACUCCCUUUGCUUUUCCACAGAGCUUGGAGUAAUGAGCCACAACUCACAGCUCCCUCCUCGGGGUCGGAGUGAAAUUCCUUUUUUUUUUGUCAUCACCUCCUUUUGCUCCCUCUCAUUUCAGGUGACUUCUCUAGUAGUUAAUCUCCAAUGAAUAUUUUAAGGAGAAAAACGUAAGGGUUAAAGAAUGGCUCUUUGUUUGCGUGUGUUCUUAGGCAGCAUUUCAAACCAUCCCUAGGAAAUAAUAAAAGUUACAGAAGCUGGUGACAAGAAAGACAAAACGUGAUGCUACUGAAAAGUAAUUUAAAAUGCAAAUUUGCCAGAGAAAUUGCAGCCCCCCUAAUUGCAGCCUUCUCUCUUCGCGUGGCUUCAAAAGCUCUGCAUGCUACCUUCCUCCCUCCGGGAAGGGCCUCAGCCGCGGCUGUGCUGCCACACUCUGACCUCUCUGGUGAAAUACGGGUGACCCGAAAUAAAACCCAGAGAAGGGGAAGGACAACUUCCCCCCCUUGAAACUCAGCCCUCCAUGGCUGGUGCUCAGGGAGGGGGCUCUUGUUCCAUGGACAGGGGUGGGGGCAAUGCUUUGUAGGGCAAAGACCGUGACUGUGUGGGUCGGGAGAACACUUAACUGGCUGAGAGCACUUUUGGGUCAAUCUUCAAUGGGGAAAAAAUUCCUCAAAACUGUAAUUGUACUUAAGAAAAAGU